UACGUAGGGUGCGAGCGUUGUCCGGAAUUAUUGGGCGUAAAGGGUGCGCAGGCGGCCUGGCGCGUCGCGAGUGAAAUCUCCUGGCUCAACUGGGAGGGUGGUCGCGAGACGGCUGGGCUUGAGGCUCGGUGAGGGGCGUGGAAUUCCGGGUGGAGCGGUGAAAUGCGUAGAGAUCGGGAGGAACAUCAGUGGCGAAGGCGGCCAUCUGGGACAACACUGACGCUGAAGCACGAAAGCGUGGGGAGCAAACAGG
rnacentral:rRNA from 1 species